rnacentral:rRNA from 1 species
CAGCAGCCGCGGUAAUACGUAGGGUGCUAGCGUUAAUCGGAUUUACUGGGCGUAAAGCGUGCGCAGGCGGCCCGUUAAGACAGGUGUGAAAUCCCUGGGCUCAACCUAGGAAUUGCGCUUGUGACUGGCGGGCUCGAGUACGGUAGAGGGGGGUGGAAUUCCUGGUGUAGCAGUGAAAUGCGUAGAGAUCAGGAGGAACACCGAUGGCGAAGGCAGCCCCCUGGGCCUGUACUGACGCUCAUGCACGAAAGCGUGGGGAGCAAACAGGAUUAGAUACCCUGGUAGUCCACGCCCUAAACGAUGGGUACUAGCCGUUUGGUGCGCGAUAGCGCUGAGUGGCGAAGCUAACGCGUGAAGUACCCCGCCUGGGGAGUACGGCCGCAAGGUUGAAACUUAAAGGAAUUGGCGGG